AUUGAACGCUGGCGGCAUGCCUUACACAUGCAAGUCGAACGGUAACGGGUCCUUCGGGAUGCCGACGAGUGGCGACCGGGUGAGUAAUAUAUCGGAACGCGCCCAGUAGUGGGGGAUAACUGCUCGCAAGAGCAGCUAAUACGGCACACGACCUGAGGGUGAAAGGGGGGGAUCGCAAGACCUCUCGAUACUGGAGCGGCAGAGAUCAGAUUAGAUAGUUGGUGGGGUAAAGGCCUACCAAGGCAACGAUCUGUAGUUGGUCUGAGAGGACGACCAGCCACACUGGGACUGAGACACGGCCCAGACUCCUACGGGAGGCAGCAGUGGGGAAUUUUGGACAAUUGGCGCAAGCCUGAUCCAGCAAUGCCGCGUGCAGGAAGAAGGCCUUCGGGUUGUAAACUGCUUUUGUCAGGGAAGAAAUCUUCUGGGCUAAUACCCCGGGAGGAUGACGGUACCUGAAGAAUAAGCACCGGCUAACUACGUGCCAGCCGCCGCGGUAA
rnacentral:rRNA from 1 species